rnacentral:rRNA from 1 species
GAUGAACGCUGGCGGCGUGCCUAAUACAUGCAAGUCGAGCGAACGGACGAGAAGCUUGCUUCUCUGAUGUUAGCGGCGGACGGGUGAGUAACACGUGGAUAACCUACCUAUAAGACUGGGAUAACUUCGGGAAACCGGAGCUAAUACCGGAUAAUAUUUUGAACCGCGUGGUUCAAAAGUGAAAGACGGUCUUGCUGUCACUUAUAGAUGGAUCCGCGCUGCAUUAGCUAGUUGGUAAGGUAACGGCUUACCAAGGCAACGAUGCAUAGCCGACCUGAGAGGGUGAUCGGCCACACUGGAACUGAGACACGGUCCAGACUCCUACGGGAGGCAGCAGUAGGGAAUCUUCCGCAAUGGGCGAAAGCCUGACGGAGCAACGCCGCGUGAGUGAUGAAGGUCUUCGGAUCGUAAAACUCUGUUAUUAGGGAAGAACAUAUGUGUAAGUAACUGUGCACAUCUUGACGGUACCUAAUCAGAAAGCCACGGCUAACUACGUGCCAGCAGCCGCGGUAAUACGUAGGUGGCAAGCGUUAUCCGGAAUUAUUGGGCGUAAAGCGCGCGUAGGCGGUUUUUUAAGUCUGAUGUGAAAGCCCACGGCUCAACCGUGGAGGGUCAUUGGAAACUGGAAAACUUGAGUGCAGAAGAGGAAAGUGGAAUUCCAUGUGUAGCGGUGAAAUGCGCAGAGAUAUGGAGGAACACCAGUGGCGAAGGCGACUUUCUGGUCUGUAACUGACGCUGAUGUGCGAAAGCGUGGGGAUCAAACAGGAUUAGAUACCCUGGUAGUCCACGCCGUAAACGAUGAGUGCUAAGUGUUAGGGGGUUUCCGCCCCUUAGUGCUGCAGCUAACGCAUUAAGCACUCCGCCUGGGGAGUACGACCGCAAGGUUGAAACUCAAAGGAAUUGACGGGGACCCGCACAAGCGGUGGAGCAUGUGGUUUAAUUCGAAGCAACGCGAAGGACCUUACCAAAUCUUGACAUCCUUUGACAACUCUAGAGAUAGAGCCUUCCCCUUCGGGGGACAAAGUGACAGGUGGUGCAUGGUUGUCGUCAGCUCGUGUCGUGAGAUGUUGGGUUAAGUCCCGCAACGAGCGCAACCCUUAAGCUUAGUUGCCAUCAUUAAGUUGGGCACUCUAAGUUGACUGCCGGUGACAAACCGGAGGAAGGUGGGGAUGACGUCAAAUCAUCAUGCCCCUUAUGAUUUGGGCUACACACGUGCUACAAUGGACAAUACAAAGGGCAGCGAAACCGCGAGGUCAAGCAAAUCCCAUAAAGUUGUUCUCAGUUCGGAUUGUAGUCUGCAACUCGACUAUAUGAAGCUGGAAUCGCUAGUAAUCGUAGAUCAGCAUGCUACGGUGAAUACGUUCCCGGGUCU